GACAGAGGUGCCAAGCGUUAGGCGGAAUCACUGGGCUUAAAGCGUGUGUAGGCGGACUUGUAAGUACCUUGUGAAAUCCCACGGCUCAACCGUGGAACUGCUUGGUAUACUGCUUGUCUUGAGCCACUUAGGGGCUACCGGAACAAAUGGUGGAGCGGUGAAAUGCGUAGAUAUCAGGAAGAACACCCGUGGCGAAAGCGGCUCUCUGGGACGGUACUGACGCUGAGACGCGAAAGCGUGGGGAGCGAACAGG
rnacentral:rRNA from 1 species